AGAGCGAACGCUGGCGGCAGGCUUAACACAUGCAAGUCGAGCGGGCGUAGCAAUACGUCAGCGGCAGACGGGUGAGUAACGCGUGGGAACGUACCUUUUGGUUCGGAACAACACAGGGAAACUUGUGCUAAUACCGAAUAAGCCCUUACGGGGAAAGAUUUAUCGCCGAAAGAUCGGCCCGCGUCUGAUUAGCUAGUUGGUGAGGUAACGGCUCACCAAGGCGACGAUCAGUAGCUGGUCUGAGAGGAUGAUCAGCCACAUUGGGACUGAGACACGGCCCAAACUCCUACGGGAGGCAGCAGUGGGGAAUAUUGGACAAUGGGCGCAAGCCUGAUCCAGCCAUGCCGCGUGAGUGAUGAAGGCCCUAGGGUUGUAAAGCUCUUUUGUGCGGGAAGAUAAUGACGGUACCGCAAGAAUAAGCCCCGGCUAACUUCGUGCCAGCAGCCGC
rnacentral:rRNA from 1 species